rnacentral:rRNA from 1 species
AUGGCGGCUUGGGGAAGAGGCAAUGCAGCUGGCAGUAAGGCGCUUGUCGCCGGCGCCGCGUUCCUGUGCAUGGCCGCGGUGCUCCUGGCGGCCACCCCUGCCGCCGAGGCGGGGGCGACGACGUACCUUGUCGGCGACGCCGCCGGGUGGACGCGCAACGUCGACUACGGCGGGUGGCUGGCCGGCAAGAUCUUCCGCGCCGGCGACGUGCUCGUGUUCAAGUACAACAGCACGUUCCACGACGUGGCGUGGGUGAGCAAGGGCGGGUACAAGAAGUGCGUCGUGUCGCCCAAGGGGUACGCCCCGGUGUACCGCAACGGCUACGACGCGGUCGCGCUGCCCAGGGGCACGCACUACUUCAUCUGCGGCGUGCCGGGCCACUGCAGCGCCGGCAUGAAGCUCGCCGUCACCGUCUACUGA